rnacentral:rRNA from 1 species
CAAUAGCGUAUAUUAAAGUUGUUGCGGUUAAAAAGCUCGUAGUUGGAGUUCUGCCAGGUGACACUCGUCCGCCCAAGUGGUGUGUACAGGGUGUGCAUCUGGCCCUUUCAAGGGGAACGUGUCUGCACUUCAUUGUGUGGUGCGAGAUCCUUGACUUUUACUUUGAGGAAAUAAGAGUGUUCCAAGCAGGCUCUCGUCGUGCAUAGCUCAGCAUGGAAUAAUAGCAUUGGACUUCGUUUCUACGCUGUUGGUUGCAAGAAGCGAGGUAAUGAUGAAGAGGGAUAGUUGGGGGCAUUCGUAUUUAACUGUCAGAGGUGAAAUUCUUGGAUUUGUUAGAGACGGACUACUGCGAAAGCAUCUGCCAUGGAUGUUUUCAUUGA